GCCUACGUUCGUGCCAAUAGGUCGCUAACACAACGUCCGUAUCGACAAGUGAAAACAAAUGAAUUACCAUGUCAUGCAUUCUUUUAGGUGACUUGAACAAAACAUUCGUAUGAUGCAGUGAAACAAACGUAUCGCCACGAUCUGUGUUCGUUCCGGUGGACGUAAACAAAAUGCUUGUAUCAGACACAAAAAAUCCAAAAAAGUUAACAAAUGACAUAAUGAAGAACAUAAAAAAUCCAGAACAAUCAAAUCUACAAGAACACGAAAAAUAAAAGGUUAAAAGAGAGCUCACCUACCUUUUCGAAAUUUGUGUUUUUUCGUGCAAAGAUCCAUCAAAACGAACCUAAUGGAUCAUCCAUUCAAAGAAAUCGAGAGAUAAAAACUCAGAUCAAACAAAACCAUAAGAAC
rnacentral:lncRNA from 1 species